GACGAACGCUGGCGGCGUGCUUAACACAUGCAAGUCGAACGGAAAGGCCCUGCUUUUGUGGGGUGCUCGAGUGGCGAACGGGUGAGUAACACGUGAGUAACCUGCCCUUGACUUUGGGAUAACUUCAGGAAACUGGGGCUAAUACCGGAUAGGAGCUCCUGCUGCAUGGUGGGGGUUGGAAAGUUUCGGCUGUUGGGGAUGGACUCGCGGCUUAUCAGCUUGUUGGUGGGGUAGUGGCUUACCAAGGCUUUGACGGGUAGCCGGCCUGAGAGGGUGACCGGCCACAUUGGGACUGCGAUACGGACCAGACUCCUACGGGAGGCAGCAGUGGGGAGUAUUGCACAAUGGGCGGAAGCCUGAUACAGCAACGCCGCGUGCGGGAUGACGGCCUUCGGGGUGUAAACCGCUUUCGCCUGUGACGAAGCGUGAGUGACGGUAAUGGGUAAAGAAGCACCGGCUAACUACGUG
rnacentral:rRNA from 1 species